rnacentral:rRNA from 1 species
GGAUAGUGGAUUUGGGUUUAAAGUUUGUGGUGGGCAAGCUGGCUAGAGUCGGGGCCUGUUGGUGAAGAGGUGAAAUUUGUAAAUCGUGAGAGGUCUUGGUGUCUGGUUUUGCAGUCCUUAGCGAGGAAGUUUAAGGUAUAGAUGAGGAUUAGAUACCCUAGUAUACUUAGAUGAAAUUUGGGCUUUAGGGUAGUAAUUAGGUAUGAGCUUGAAAUCUAAAGGAUUUGGCGGUGUUUAAACCCAAUUAGAGGAACUUGAGGCGUGAACGAUAAACCUCGACUAUCUAUCUUUAUCUUGUAUUGUAACAGUUUGUAUACCGCCAUUAUUAGGUAAUUUCAGCAGAAAUUUAUCUUAAUUUAAUAGUGUGUCUAUUUACAGUAUAUUAGGUCAAGGUGCAGCUUAUGGUAAAGUGGUCCUUGAGUUACAUUGAAGUUAUUUAUACGGAUCGGGGCUGUAAGGAGUCUCGUGAAGGUGGAUUUAAUAGUAAUUUGUGGCAUUGAGCAGAUGUGAAGUUGGCUCUUAGACAUGUACACAUCGCCCGUCGCCCUUGCUUU